GCUCAACGAAGAACCUAAACUCCUCUUCGGGUUCUGCUUCCAUAUUUGUUCCUUCUCUGUUAGCUUCGGGUUCUACUUCCAGUUUCGCUGGAACCGGCGCCAAGAGAUAUUUUGCAGUUAUGCUUCGACUGGCGAAUGAGUUUGAGCUUCGGCUGAAUGCACAAAAUAUCGAGCGAGGGAAUAGCGGGGAAGCUUGAUCGCAAAUUAGCGAGCAAAUAGUAAGCAUCCUUAAUAUCAUUAGCGAGGGCCUUAGCGAGGGAUUGGCGACGGAUUUUGCGAGGGAUUGGCGACGGAUGAAAUCCCUCGCUAAUUAGCUACCUGUAUUUAGCGAGGGAAUGGUCUCUCGCAAUUUCAUCACUAUUCCGUCGCAAAACUGAUUAGCGAGAGAUUAGAGAGGAAAUAGCGAGGGAAUAGUCCCUCGCUAAUAUGUAAUUUUCUUGUAGUGUUAAUUGUAUGAAUUUAGAAUUAAGCAUGUAAAUAACCAUUAAUA